GGACCUGACUGCUAUCGGAUUGAUACUAAGCCAUGCGAGUCAUUGUAGCAAUACAAGGCAUACGGCUCAGUAACGCGUAGUCAACCUAACCUAUGGACGGGAAUAACCUCGGGAAACUGAGAAUAAUGCCCGAUAGAACAUUAUGCCUGGAAUGGUUUAUGUUCCAAAUGAUUUAUCGCCGUAGGAUGGGACUGCGGCCUAUCAGUUUGUUGGUGAGGUAAUGGCCCACCAAGACUAUUACAGGUACGGGCUCUGAGAGGAGUAGCCCGGAGAUGGGUACUGAGACACGGACCCAGGCCCUAUGGGGCGCAGCAGGCGGGAAAACUUUGCAAUGUGCGAAAGCACGACAAGGUUAAUCCGAGUGGUUUCUGCUAAAGAAACCUUUUGUCAGUCCUAGAAACACUGAUGAAUAAGGGGUGGGCAAGUUCUGGUGU
rnacentral:rRNA from 1 species